CCUACGGGUGGCAGCAGUGGGGGAUAUUGCACAAUGGGGGAAACCCUGAUGCAGCGACGCCGCGUGAGUGAAGAAGUAUUUCGGUAUGUAAAGCUCUAUCAGCAGGGAAGAAAAUGACAGUACCUGACCAAGAAGCCCCGGCUAACUACGUGCCAGCAGCCGCGGUAAUACGUAGGGGGCAAGCGUUAUCCGGAUUUACUGGGUGUAAAGGGAGCGUAGACGGUUAUGUAAGUCUGGAGUGAAAGCCCGGGGCCCAACCCCGGGACUGCUUUGGAAACUGUGUAACUGGAGUACAGGAGGGGUAGGCGGAAUGCGUGGUGUAGCGGUGAAAUGCAUAGAUAUCACGCAGAACUCCGAUUGCGAAGGCAGCUUACUAAACUAUAACUGACACUGAAGCACGAAAGCGUGGGGAUCAAACAGGAUUAGAUACCCUAGUAGUC
rnacentral:rRNA from 1 species